ensembl:lncRNA
AUGCGCAGGCCGCGGUCCCGCCGUGCGCUCGGGAACGGUGAGAUGGCGGAGCCCCGCGAUCGCGGCAGCCCGAAGUGCGGUGGGGCCGGCGGGCGCGGCCCCUUUAAGAGUAAGAGCACCACGGCGGCGCCGGGCACGGCGGCGGCCGCUCCACGCAUGCGCACAGCCUGUCCCUGCGACUUAUUCGGCGCCGCCGGCACAGGGGGCACGUGCAGGGGUGGGGAGUUGCGCUGUAGCGCGCUCGCGCAUGCGCAGGCCGCGGUCCCGCCGUGCGCUUUGUGGCGCUGCCGGAAGCGGGUGCGGGCCGAGUGCAGCGAGCGGCGCUCCCGGUCCCGUGUGGCCGCGGCCCCGUGGCGCCGGCGGCCUGAGGGAGCGGCGCGUCCCGACAUGUCUGCCGGGCUCUCGGCACAGAGUCUGACCAACAAGCCGCUGGUGCCGAGCGUGCCCGGCUCAGGCCUCCCGGGCUCUGUCGGGGUUCUGCUUUCCCUGCCCAGUGGAUAGCAGAUCCUAUUUAUUUGGCAAACAGUGAACUGCAGCGAGGCUUCUCCCCGGAGUAAGGGGGCUGUGCCUGCCAGAGAGUCCUUCCUGGUUGAGCAGUUUGGAGACUUCACGGGAAACUGGACUGACAAAUAAGUGCCAAUAUAUAAUAAACUGCUGAGUAAAAUUUUUUCUCAGUCGAGUGCACUGUUUCGUGGUCAAGUUCAUUAGAUAGUUGUUGGUGCAAAUGAGGGGUUUGAAAACUUACUGAAUUCUCGGGUGACCUUCCUGGAAGAUAAUUUUCUCAAACCUGCUGUGAAAAAUGAGAGUGAUAGUGAGAUGCAGAGUAGUGCUGAUGUCUGAGUAAUAACGCUUGAAAGCAGAAUAAUAGCCAAAUCAUACAAAACUGACUGAUGUUUUUGCUUUCCUAUGGCUCUGUUCAUCUUCAGCUGUAACAGUAUGCAACUUCUCUGCAGUAGGUGCCCUGCCUUCUGCUUAGGCCAGGCUGUGUCCAGCAGUGUUCCUGGAAACUAAGGAGGUCAUGAACUGGGGUCCAUGAACUGGGAGUUCUGGAGAUAGUAAAACCAGAGUCCUGUGGCUUAAAUGGCACCUUAUGUUCGAGACCCACCCUUCCCUGUGGCACAUUCAUGUAUUAACUUCUACAGAAAUGCAAUGAAAUCUGACAAAUUUGUCUUCUCUGGGCAAGGGCAGCUGUGAUUCUCUUCUCUGACCCUUAGUAGUGCUAUGGCUGAAUGGCUUGGGAAAGGAUGGCAGGAAUUCCUGGUUUUUUGUGUGCCUCAUCUCUUGCCUUGAAUAUAGACUUCUAAAAAAAUUAAUAGUAACCCUGACAUGCAUUUUUAAAAAAAUUCUUUAACAGAAUACUUAAAAUACCAACUUUCUGCUGAUCUUUCUCUCGGGUCUUCUAUUGGGUUCUUGCCAUUUUUAUUUUUUUGCCUGCUCUCUGCUCUUGCUGUUGUCCUUUACACACAGUGCACGCCUUAGGCAGUGCUGACCUGUCAGAUGGCUCCAGAGGUGAGCUACCAGGAGGGCUGUGCUUCCUCAGGCCUGGUAGGCUUAAUACCAGAGGUACAGUUAGUCUCAGCUAGAUCUGACUUGAGCUUGGAGGGCAGUGAUUCAUGCUCAGAAUGGUACAGGCCUGAGAAAAACCGCUCAUUAGAGUCUGGUUUGUGCUUUGGGGGAAGGUGGGCUGUGGAAGAAUGGCUUUCUGGCAAGAAUUGUUUCCUCUAGAGUGCAGAUAUUGCUACUGUUAGGUAGCAGAGGUCAUAUUAAAUGAGAGGAAUACUUAUAAAACAUAUCCGAUAUCCCAGAACUUUGAUGUAGACCUUUCUUAUUGUGGCUGCUUCUCUGGUUUGGGCUCAAUGAGGCCUUCAGCCUUCCUUGAGCAUAUCUCUGCGGAUGGGCUGUGUAUCUCUUGUACUACUAACCAUUGUGUCUGCUCUGCUUUUUUGGUUCUAAUAAAAACCAUGAAGGAUCCACUUUUGGGACAGCUCAUCUUUGUGCUUGAAAUUCCUUUGCAUCAUUGGAAAAUACUUCAUUUACAAUCUGAAGCUGCUGAACACAAAAUACUAAAUGUUCACAUUUGCUCCUAGCACUUCCCUCCUCAGUGCACUUUUUGGAGGAACUUCUCUGUACAUGGAUAUUGAUUCCCUGACCUCUCCCCUGCACACGAUCCAAACACCUCAGCUUCAGGCUCAGACCUUCUGCUCAUUCCUUCACAGUAACUAACUAACACAGUAACAGCAGAAUGGGGCUCUGUUUACUUCUCACUGUCUAACUUUAGUGAUCCAGGAGUUUAAAUAUUUUGGCUGCAGCUGUUCAUAUUAAGUCUUUGGAAACUGG